GAGUAACACGUGGGCAACCUGCCUGUAAGACUGGGAUAACUUCGGGAAACCGGAGCUAAUACCGGAUAAUCCUUUCCCUCACAUGAGGGAAAGCUGAAAGACGGCUUCUCGCUGUCACUUACAGAUGGGCCCGCGGCGCAUUAGCUAGUUGGUGAGGUAACGGCUCACCAAGGCAACGAUGCGUAGCCGACCUGAGAGGGUGAUCGGCCACACUGGGACUGAGACACGGCCCAGACUCCUACGGGAGGCAGCAGUAGGGAAUCUUCCGCAAUGGACGAAAGUCUGACGGAGCAACGCCGCGUGAACGAUGAAGGCCUUCGGGUCGUAAAGUUCUGUUGUCAGGGAAGAACAAGUACCGGAGUAACUGCCGGUACCUUGACGGUACCUGACCAGAAAGCCACGGCUAACUACGUGCCAGCA
rnacentral:rRNA from 1 species